rnacentral:rRNA from 1 species
ACCUGCCCUAUGAUAGAGAUAUUAAAUGGCCGCGAUACUUUGAUCGUGCAAAGGUAGCAUAAUCAUUAGUUUUUUAAUUGAGAACUGGAAUGAAAGGUCGAACGAGAAAAAGGCUGUCUCAAUUUAAUUUUAAUUAGAAUUUUAUUUUUAAGUAAAAAAGCUUAAAUGAGUUUAAAAGACGAGAAGACCCUAUAGAGUUUUAUAUAUAUUUAAUUUUGAUAAAAGUUAAGAAUUUAUUUUUUUUAUUAUUAAAUAUGUAUUUGGUUGGGGCGACUAAAAAAUUUAAAUAACUUUUUUUAUUUUUUAACCAUUAAUGUAUGAAUAAGUGAUCCAUUUAUUAUGAUUAUAAGAUUAAAUUAC